rnacentral:rRNA from 1 species
ACGGGAGGCAGCAGUGGGGAAUAUUGGGCAAUGGGCGCAAGCCUGACCCAGCAACGCCGCGUGAAGGAAGAAGGCUUUCGGGUUGUAAACUUCUUUUGCAAGGGACGAGACAAAGACGGUACCUUGUGAAUAAGCCACGGCUAACUACGUGCCAGCAGCCGCGGUAAUACGUAGGUGGCAAGCGUUGUCCGGAUUUACUGGGUGUAAAGGGCGUGUAGCCGGGUCGGUAAGUCAGAUGUGAAAUCUAUGGGCUUAACCCAUAAACUGCAUUUGAAACUGUUCUUCUUGAGUGCUGGAGGGGCAAUCGGAAUUCCUUGUGUAGCGGUGAAAUGCGUAGAUAUAAGGAGGAACACCAGUGGCGAAGGCGGAUUGCUGGACAGUAACUGACGGUGAGGCGCGAAAGUGUGGGGAGCAAACAGGAUUAGAUACCCUGGUA